rnacentral:lncRNA from 1 species
CUCUCUCUGUCCCCAAAAUAAAUAAACGUUGAAAAAAAAAUUAAAAAAAAAAAUUAAAUACUUGAGAUGAGCACUGGGUGUGGUAUGUAAGCCAAUUUGACAAUAAAUUAUAUUAAAAAUUAAUUAAUUAAUUAGUUAAUUAAAAAUUAAAUACUUUUUUUAGUAGGCUCCACACCCAGCGUGGAACCCAGUGCAGGGCUUGAACUCAUGACCCUGAGAUCAAGACCUGAGAGCUGAGAUCAAGCUGAGCUCAGUCCCUGACUGAGCCACCCAGACACCCCAAAUACGUUUAUUUUUCAAUAAAACCUCGCAACACUACAGUAAAUGGAAAAUCAGUAUCACCCGUCAUACAUAGUAAUUAUAUAGAGAUAGACAUUAUCGACCAUGAUAAUAAAUAAUGUUGUUAUUAUUAGCCUUUUGGAGCCUUUGCUCUGUGCCAGGAGCUGUUCUAGACUCUAUGAUAUUAACUGACUCAGUGAGUUGCUGCGGUCCCCCAAGGGAGGCACCGUGUUGUCCCCUCCCUCUGUCAUGAGUUAAGAGGCUCAGAGCGGCGGCCCUGAAAAUAGACUCAUCACCCUGGAAACCAAAGGCGAGGCCACCUCAGUCACCCUGGCGCCCAUGGGCGGGGCACCUCAGCUAUGCCGGACUUUGAAUCUCAUUUGCUUCUUGCCUCAUUCACCCAUCUACUCAACAAGUGUUCGCUGAGCACCUGCUGUGUGACCUUGCCGGGGAAAGAGAGGAUUAGGACUCUGUCCCUGCCCUGGAAGAGCCUGCCUGCUCGUCGGGAAGGGUGCGUAUGGACCAGCAUGUGGUUGGGGCUUCAGAGCUGGGCGCUGGGAGGGGAGAGGGCAUUCUCCAGCCUGGGCUGGGGGUGGAGGGGUGAUGCUGGGUGAAGGACGGAAGGAGACAGGUGACGUAAGGGACGGGGAGAGGGAAAGGGAACAUGGCAAUUCAGGUCCGUUAAAAAGAUGGAAUAAAGUAGGAUUCAUGUCUUCAAUGACAUCCCUGUUAUUAACAUACUAAGAGGAUUUCACCUCAGUUUUCCCCAUCUGUAGAAUGGGAGUAAUGGGGCCAUCCUCCCAGAGGAACACCCACGAGGAUAAACAUGUCACACAGCCUCCAAAGCAUUCUGCAGUUCCUGCCACACAGUAAAUGCUCAAAAUGUCACUACCCAUAAUGACGAUGAUGAUUACUGCUUCUGGCAAGUGCUGGUGUUUUCCAUUUACCAUAGCAGCGUGGUAAAGGUGUUUUUUUCUUUAAUUUUUAAAAAUAUUUUAUUUAUUUUUGAUAGAGAGAGACAGAGCACAAAUGGGGGAGGGGCAGAGAGAGAGGGAGACACGGAAUCCGAAGCAGGCUCCGGGCUCCGAGCUGUCAGCACAGGGCCCGACGCGGGGCUCGAACUCACAAACCGUGAGAUCGUGACCCGAGCCGAAGUCAGACGCUCCACCGACUGAGCCACCCGGGGGGCCCCAAGUGUUUUUUUUUUCAAUGUAUUUGAUUUUUCAAAGUGAGUUCAGAAGUGGUACCCUCGCAGCGCGUUUAAGCUAAUAUCCACAUCACUGUGUUCUCAUUUGCAUCCGCCCUGGAAUUUUACAAGCACACAAAAAAAUUCACCCGAAAUGUCCACACGUCCCUUUUAUCGUCCUGAUGCUCUAUUUAGAAAGAAAUGGAAAUCCAAGACUAUUCUUUCAAACUCAUAGCAAUGCACUGACUUGAUGGGGAACUUCAAUUCCUUACCAAAUGGUAAAAGCAACCUAAUAAUGAGCAAUAUUUCUAAGUAGCACAGCUCCCAGUGUGGGGCUUUCUAAAUCUGAUCUAGACGGGCCAAACAUUCACCUUUCCCAACCGAAGCCUCUCUUUGCGGAGCGAUACGGCUUUGCAAGGACAUCUGUCUGAGUCACCACGCCUCAACUAGGAGAAGACGACUUCUUCCCCCAUCUCUCCCCUCCUCCAACUGGGCUCGGUGUGGUGUCGAGGAAUAUGGGGGCUUUGGGGAAAAUGAAAAAUCUGGAGUUACUGUUGAAUCAGGCGAGAAAAGAAAGAGCGCAGGCUGAGUGAGACCAGUUGGGUCUCAGGUUCCUGCUACCUCCUCCCAUUUGUAAGGGACGGUGAACUAGUUACGGUUUCUGGGCUUCAGUUCCUGCCUGCCUCAGUUUCCCUCUCGGUAAGGUCACCUCUUGGAUUCUUGAGAUUGUGCGUGCUAAGCAAGUAUCUCCUAUUAUGAUGAUGAUUAUUACUGCCUGUAUAGACUGGGGGUAAUCCCCCUUUUGCUGCAAGGAGCCUUGGGGAUCACAUGGCAUAGCCCCGGACAGCAUCUGCCCUUUUGAAGCAGGCUUAGAACUCUGGCCAGAGCUGCGCUGAGGGGGAGGGGGCGGGGGUGAGAUCCAAAGUCAAAGCCACCUCAAAAGGACUAUAAAAGGGAAACGGAAUCCAAAGAAAAGAAGGUUGAAGUUGCUGCUUUUCAGAAUUUUUCUUCACAGGCAGUGCAACCUGGGGGAGACCCGUGCCAGCCCCCCCCGCCCCCCUCCGUGCGCCCCGUGCCCCUGCGCACACGAGGCCCAGACAGAGCCACGGCUGACGCGGGACGCCUGCCGAGCCCACAGGCGGAGUGUGAGGGUCAAGCAUUUACUACUCCGCUGCCCCCAUCGCGCUAAUAACAGUGGGAUUACCGGCCCACGGGGAAUGUUCCAGGCUCUCCCCAGUCCAAGCAGUCGGCCCUGAUUCUCUCGUUUAAUCAACCAUCCCUGGAGGGAAAUGCCGGCGUGACUCACCUUUUGCGAGAGAGGAAAGCAAGGCACAGAGAAGUGAAGAAACAUGCUCCAGGCUGCACAGCUCACGGAUAGAGCGAAGAUUUGAACCCAGGCCGUGCGGCUCCGAAGCCCAGGUGCUCCAGCCGCCGGUGGCCUGCCUCCCCGGCCGCUGCCAGAGCUGGGCGCUGAUGUGGGCACCCCACAACCCGGGCCUCAAUGGCACAACGACCCUUGGUCGUUUGGUCCUUAGCCUCAGACGCACGGCCGCCCUCUGGUAGAGCCAGGCCGAGGGUGGACGGCGGAGAGGCGUUGCCUUGGGCACAAAAUUUAAGGAGGCGUCGUCGGACGGGGAAGUGUGUGCCCCAAAGAGUGGACUGGCCUCGGCGAGCUGUGCGGAGGGGCAGGAACAAACUAGGGAGGCGGGGGGCCUCCCGAGGCCGGAAAUAACAAAGACCGGUCCGGGACGACUCGUACUCGGGGAAGUGACACUGGGGCCUUGGGCUCUCCCAGUGCCCCCCUGACCGCCCCGCUCACACCUGACCUCCUCGUCUGCGCGGGCCUCUGAACACCUUCAGACCGGACGCAGCUGGGAGCGUCACUGCUAGAUGGCGAUUCGGUUAUCUUGAAAAACGAGCAAAAGGAGGCCCGGAAGGGUCAAGGCCACACAGCCAAUCAACUUUAACGGAACGAUGCUGUGACCUCGGGCUCCCACCCGUCAUCAGACAGUCCUUCCGUUUUGGUUUGGCAGAACAGAGCAGAAACUGUGGCUUAUCCCCCGUAUCUGUGUCUCUCUCACCCCGGUUAUGAUUUUAGCCGGUCAAAUGACCACCCAGGACAAAGACACGUUUCCCUCGCGGUGAGGCACGGCCAUGUGACACAGCGGUGUGGGAAGUGUUCUUAAAAGGAGCAGGGGACACCCUCCUCUGCUCCUGUCUCUUUCCUCCUGGCUGGAAAGAAGAUACGAUGGCUGGAGCUCAGGCAACAGUUUUGGAGCAUGAGGAUGGCCAAGUCACACGCUGAGGAAGCCUGAGACCUUAAAAACUUUGUGAAGCCUCUCUAGCAGGGCUGUGUUCCUUCUGGAAGGUCUAGGGAAGAAUCUGUUUUCUUGCCUUUCCUGGCGAGGCCACCCAAACACCAUGAUGCGUGGUCUCUUCUCCCAUCUAUCUUCAAAGCCAGGGAAGGCCGGUCUUGUCUCUCUCACGCUGACGUUGGCCCUCCUGCCUCUCUCUUCCACAUUUAAGACCCUUAUGAUGACUCCCAGCUCCUCCGGAUAAUCCAGAAUAAUCUCCUCAUUGAAAAAUCGGCUGAUUAGCAACCUUCCUGCCAUCUGCGACUUUAAUUCCCCCUGCCAGGAGAGGUGACACAUCACAGGUUACAGGGACCAGGAUGGGGACAUUUCGGGACGGGGGCACUAUUCUGCCUCUAAAAGAGCAGGGAUGUCCUAGUCCCACAGAUACUACAGUGAAGAGAGAAGAUUCCGGACGUGAAGCAAAGGCCUCAAAGCGGCCACCUGCUGGCUCGGUCCCACCAAUGGGCACGCCUGGUCCUCCCCGCUUUCUUUACCCUGAAUCAGCUGCUGAGGUCCCACUGGCUAAUUUCACAUGAAAAUUCACAGUUCCUGUUUCCCUUGACUCAAUAGAGGGUCCCGCACCCUGGGUCUGCUUCCUAAGACGUUGACAUCAACUGCGUGGGCUGUGGCCGCCCCUCGAGGACAGGCCACGGCUUCCCCGCAGUCCUCACCCUCCAUUAUCGCCUGUCGCCCAGUCUGCUGCCUCUGGUCACGGGGCCUGCCUGACCCCCUCAGGGAACGCAGUUUGUAACAUUUACUAAAAAACAUCUCAGGGUGCAGAAGUUACCCAGUAAAGGGUCGUUAGUAUUUCCCCUGUUCGAGAAGACACAUCAACAUGGCGAUUCUCAACAUGGGACGUCCCUAGGGAACUUCUACGGAUCUCAGCGUCCGGACCAGUUUCACCAGGACAUCUGGCGUGGGGCCCGGCUCAGCAUUGCCACAGCUCCCCAAGAACUCCGGCCAGCAGCCAGGCGGAAAACCGGGGCGUUCGCAGACCUUCGCAGGCCGUCAGGGCUCAGGCGACCUCAGCACAACUGUGGAGCAGGCCUCUAUCCCCGGCCGUCCCUCCCAGAGAGAAAAAGAGGGCACAUGUGAAGAUUGUGAAACCAUUCGUGAAACGCCGAUGGCUGUAACCAGGAGCCUUUGCUGCCCGAGCAUCCACUUCCCGCUGCAGAUACCGGAAGGCUGGCUGGAAGCUUCUGGAAGCUUCCAUCACCCAGGCAUUCCUUCGCAGUGACCGGCGGGGGCUCCUCAGACCAGUGAGGGGCAGAUUCCAGACGCCGUAGCUCCCUUCUUUUUUUUUUUUUUUAAUGUUUAUUUAUUUAUUUAAAAAAAAAUUUUUAAUGUUUAUUUACUACUGAGAGACAGAGAGCAUGAGCAGGGGAGGGGCCAAGAGAUGGAGAGACACAGAAUCUGAAGCAGGCUUAAAGCUCUGAGCUGUCAGCACAGAGCCCGAUGUGGGGCUCGAACUCACCAACCUGAGCCGAAGUCGACACUUAACGGACUGAGCCACCCAGGCGCCCCUGAAGGGAGAGGUAUUUAAACAGAAGAGAGAACACUCAGCCGGGCUGUCCACGGGGGUUCUGCAGAGACAUCACCCGUCCUACACACGGGUGCCCCGGGUGCCCUUCCCUGCCCAGCUAGCGUGUGACCACGUUCCUGCUAAGGCCCUCCCCCAGCUACUGGGCACUCCCCCCGCCCCCGCCACCCCACGGGAUGGAACCCUUCCAGGGCCACAAUUCAAAUGCCUCCCAGGCCAGGCAGACAACCAGGAUGGGCAGCAGAGAGAGGCAGAGUGCGAACAUUGCCCAUUACUCAUAAUACUGACAUCCUGGAUGCUAAUUUGCAAUUUUUAGAAACGUCCCCAUUUGCUAGAAAACGCCAUCGGCGGCUGGGUUUGCCUGGGGACCUCCAUUUCCCCUCUCCGGUGGCUGCUCUGGGUUCCCUCUUGGUUCUCCUUAGAACACUGUGCCUCCCCGAGGCCUCCCGUGACCCAAAAUAGCCACAAGCGGGCUAUUUUUGCAGGACUCUGAUAGCACAGGUCUGAGGGGCCAAGAGACGGGUCGGUGCUGGGGUUGGAUCCUGUAUUAUCCUUUAUCAUCCGACGCUGCGUGGGCUCAGAGCGGGGGACUGGAGGCCUUCAAGGAGCCCAGGAAUGUUCCCACUGGUGACUGCCGGGGCGGGAGGGGGCGGGGGGUUCCAGGCAGCCCUCGGUGGCCAUAAAUAGGACAGCCCGUGCCGGUGGAGCCCAGCAGGCAGGUGGCUGCAGGGAGGAAAGCAGGUCUCUGCUCCACACGCACUCAAUCUGGUCCUCUCCCAGGGCCUAAGGGAGACAUUUCCCUAACAUUUGCAUGGCAGUUGCUGGGGCCCUCAGUCAAAAUGCAUGCAAAUCCAAGUUCUGUGCCGCAAAGUUAAUCCUUGAUGGGCAUUGUCUCUGACAUGCUCCAGAGAGCUGGUGACCUUUCAUCCCCCAAAUGCAUGCUAAGCACCAGCUUUGGGCGGGCGGUGAGCUGGGAGCUGGGUUACCAGGGAGAGCGGGACAGCCUGGGCUCGCCCGCCAGUGGGGGACAUGGCCCUACGGAACAGUCCGGGGCUGUCACAGUGACUGGUGAUGGCUGUCAAGGGUGAGGGUAAAGUUUAUAGUUUUAUUUGUUUAAUUUUAGUUAGGUUUAUUUAUUUUGAGAGAGAGAGAAUUAGAGAAAGAAUCACAAGCGGGCUCCACGUUGUCAGCACAGAGCCCGACGCGGGGCUCGAACCCACGAACCGUGAGAUCGUGACCCGAGCCGAAGUCGGACGCUCAGCCGACUGAGCCACCCCGGCGCCCGGGUGAGGGUAAAAUUUAAAGAGGGUUCUGCAAGAAUGUUCUUCACAGCUUUCCUUAGAAGACCCUCAGACUAGAAAUGCUCAUCAACAGGGGAAGGGGAAACGAAUGGGGCUGUAUCACGACAGAAUAUUCUAGAUCUCUGAGAACAGGCGAGGCACCCAGCCACACAUACUUGGUGUCACAAGAAGGAAGCCAGACCUCGAGAGCCUACUAUCCGCUCCCACACAUGAAUCUCAAAAGCAGGAAAGUCAAUGUAUGGGGUUGCAAAUAAGGACAGUGGUUACCUUUGGGUGGGGCGUGGGACCAGAGGGGCCCAGGGGAGCACCCUGGGUCACCUGCUGUCUCUAGAUCUGGCCGCUGGUUACCCCGUGUGUGUACUUCGUGAAGUCUCAUGCACCCGGUCAGUCAAGAUUUGCACCCUUUUCUGUAUGUACAUUUCGUGUCUCAAUAACAAGUUGACACGAAAUAAUAAAGCAGGGAAGGGAGGAGAGGAGGGGAGGGUGGUUGGAAAUUGCUAGACCAACUAGUGGGACUGUGCCCUGCCCCCUCUGUCCCAUGGCGUGGCCAAAGGAUAGAGGUUUGCCAACAGCACGUCUACUCCCCAGAUGGGCCGCCUGGGGUGCUGCCCAAGCCGUGGACCGCAGAGCUUCGGGAACCCCCAGGGCAGCCGGGCUCUGCGCAGAGACCUGGAACUUGGGGGCAGGGAGUGGAAAACCCCAGCCCGCGGUCGCCCCAGGGGAGACCUGGCCGCCCCUCCCGAGGAAAACAUAAGAUGGGGACGACAGAACGAUGUCCUUGGAGCCUGAUGGAUAACGUCCCCGUGUAUGUCCUGAAUGCUCCACAACAGUUAAGUGCCUCUGUUGUGAUCAGCAGCAUUUAUUAGACGCCUACUGGGUGCCGGCACACGCCGAUGUGAUUCCAGCGCUUACCCAGAGGAGAUGCUUUGCAAAACGUCAGUCGACUGAAUGGUCUGUUGAUUUGUUACAGUAACCCUUGCGGGGACUGUCACAGCCUCCAUCUACCACUCGGGGGCCGGCUUCGGAACCCUCCCCUCUUGAAGCCUCGGUUUCCUUCCCUGCGAGACAGAUCAUGAGAGUGACUGACUCGCUUUGCCAACAGCCCCUUGGGCGGGCGAUUCUCUGCUGUGGGGACCGUCCCGCCUCGGAGGGGGCAUAACAGCCGCCCCGGCCUCCAUUCCCACAAGAUGCCAGCAACACGCCCCUCCCGGCCGUGACAACCAAAAUCUCUCCAGACAUCAGCAAGUGUCCCGGGGGACGGAAUGCUGGUUGAGGGCCUCUGGGUUGCAGACACGAAUGCCAUAGGAUGGUGGGGUGCGAAGGACGCGGCAGAACCCCCCACAAUUAGUAAUCACCGUCAAAAGAGCGGGCAAAAUGCCGGGGCGAGGAUUUGAGCUCAGGGCCAUCUGACCUCACACCAGGGCUCGCUUCUGACCUUCACAUUGCGCUUGGACACCCAAGGCCUUGUCGGGGUGCGGGUCCUGGUGUGGCGGGUCUGGGGCGGUGACCCUUGCGCCUGGCGGCCCCCUCCCCUGCCCGAGCCCUUGAAGCGUUGAUGGCCCAGAGGGGGGGAUCCAAAGGGGCAUCUGCGGGGGCGCCUGGUGGCUCAGUCGGUGAAGCGUCUGACUCUUGAUUUCCGCUCGGGUCGUGAUCCCGGGGUUUGUGAGAUCGAAACCUGCGCUGGGGGCGCUCUCUCUCUCUCUCUCUGUUUCUCUCUCUCAAAAACAAAUAAACUUAAAAAAAAAAAAGAGGCGGGGCGCCUGGGUGGCGCAGUCAGUUAAGCGUCCGACUUCAGCCAGGUCACGAUCUCGCGGUCCGUGAGUUCGAGCCCCGCGUCGGGCUCUGGGCUGAUGGCUCGGAGCCUGGAGCCUGUUUCCGAUUCUGUGUCUCCCUCUCUCUCUGCCCCUCCCCCGUUCAUGCUCUGUCUCUCUCUGUCCCAAAAAUAAAUAAACGUUGAAAAAAAAAUUAAAAAAAAAAAAAAAAAAAAAAAAAAAAAAAAAGAGGCACGUGCCACAGGUCUCCACUGCACUAAAUUCUUUUUUUUUUUUUUAGUUUGUUUAUUUUAACGCGGGGGGUGGAGAGAGAAUCCCAAGCGGACUCCACGCUGUCAGUGCAGAGCCCGACUUGGGGCUUGAACACACAAACCGCGAGAUUGUGACCUGAGCCCACCCCCCCACCUGAACCCCAAGAGCGCCUGGGGGAGGGGUGCGGCCGCAGGGAAGUCGGGCUGCCGGGGGUUCGUGUGGUGAUGAGGUGUGAUUUCAGCAAGGAAGUUGGCCAAGUCAGUGCAGGAUGUCAGAGAAGGUUCCUCAAACUGAGGCAGCAAGGGAGGUAGAGAGGAGGGUCUGACUCACCUCCCAGCGCUUUGGGUCGAUACAAAUAUACCAACAUCUCCACGCAGCGUUGCCGAUUUUUCCAGAAUCGCUUCAAAGUAAGAAGCAGUGCCAGGCGGAGAUCAUGCUACCCCGGGAGGAUGGGACAAGACCACGUGACCUCUACAGUCUUCUUGCGAACACCCAGAGCCCUGGCCCAACCACGAGAAGAACGGCAGGCCGGCCCCGACUGGAGGACAUCUCACAAAACCUCUGAGCCGAGUCCCCAAAAUGGCCAGAUCAGCAAAUCCAAGGAAUGAUGGAAAAAGCGUCACAACCCCGAGGAGUGAGGAAGCACGGCACGCGUCCCAGACAGGACCCUGGAGCAGGGAAGGGACGGAAAACCUGGUGAAGUCCACAUAAAGUCUAGAAUUCAGUGAAUAAUAAUGUGCCGAUGUCAGGUUCUUAGUUUGGACAAAUGUAACCCGGUCGUGGAGAAGCGUAAUGUUCCGGGAAAUUCGGGAAAUUCAAACUGAGGGAGGGAUAAUCCGGGAACUCUCUGUACAGCCUUUGCAACUUUUCUUCAGAGUUCAAGGGCACCCUUGAAGUGCACAGGGAGCCCAGGGAGCUUGUAUGUACAGAAAUGUGCAAAGUAAAAAAUUCAGACCUGCU